GGAGGUAAGGGUUUUUCUUGCUGGAGAUCAUUGUAUGUCUGAGGAUCUUACACAUGCUUUUGAAGACCCUGCUGAUCUUAAUUAAGAGCUGAAUCCUUCAGACAGAAGCAUAGCAGCCCCCAGCAGUAUCACAAAGGAGCACAUGUGUAAGGGAAAAGCAAGCAUUUCCCAUGCAAACCAGGGCUUGCAUGCUCUGCCAGGUCAAUUACAAGCUUUUGCAGCCACAGAGGAAACAGUUUUUUCUCCCUUUUAUUAAAAUGGCUGCUCCAUCCCAUUGCGGAUUGAAAGAGCUACUUGGCUGCCCAUGGAUCCCAGCUGACCUCCAGCCACAAGACCAGGCCUUUACCAGAAAGGAGGGGGAACCAUCAAUCUCUAAAUGAAGACAUUGUCCUCCUGAUUAUCUCUUUGUUGCCAGUGGUGUGUGAGGCUACAGAAAGGAAAAGCGAGCAGUUCCAAGAUGGCUGUGGGCGAAGGAGCGUGUCCCAGCCUUGAUGAGGCUUUUAUUCUGUCUGGCACUGCACAAACUGCUCUGUCAGCAAGAGAUGUCUCUAUACAUUAGGCAUGAAUUUUCUGGGAAAAACUAGGACUGUCCCCUCCCCCCCUCCCCCCCUCCUCCUACCACCAUCACUCAAAUGUAGCACAUCUCUCCUGCCCAAAUGUUGUGACAGUGUGUUGUGUCUUGAAGUUCCCCUGUUUUCCUCCUUUGCCUGGGCUUGGAUGAACAUGGCUAUGUAUACUUGGAGAGUCAGGUGAGAGAAUGUCCUGGCAGAUAUUUGGGCAGGAAGCAGGCAUCUGUCACCUGGGAAACACUGGAGGGAAAGAGAAGCCAUAAAUACUACCCAUACUACCAGAGUAAUAGGAAUUGAUUUACAGGAUGUCUAUCUGUGAAGGGUAGAGGACCGACUUUAUGCACCUUGUUCUGAGAAAGUAACAUGAGCAUCUUGCUAAUGGCAUGGAGAAAGGGAUUGCAUAUAAUAAUGGAGCUCAGAGGUAUCAAAGUUACUAUUCAAGUCCAGUGUUCACAGAUGAGAUUUCUUCCUACCUUCUCCAUAUCUUCCCCCACCCCCUGCUCCAAUUGCAAUCUGCCUGCAAAGUUUAACAGGCUGCUUCAUCUUUGUUUUUAACUCACUGUGUUGUGAUGGACAAGAGUCAUUGUUACCAGCACCAAGUCUACAAGAAAGCACACUAAAUCCAGUUGUGAAUGCUUGUUUCAGAAGUCCUGGUCUCUUGUAUCUCAGCAUCCAGUGCUUCUUGUCUCUGACUUCAUCAGCUGAAAUUCUUUUGGUGUCUUUCUGAUCAUGGCCUUGGAGGCACAGUGUUCCCUUUUUGUGUGUUUUCAUCUUUGUCCCCCUGUAACUUAUUUGGUGGCUCAGAAUUCACUACAGCUUGCAGUUUUUUGCUAUUGUUCUUAUAUAAAACCUGGAUACUGAGAAGUUUAUGAAGAAAUGCUGGCUUUGGUAUCUUCCUUGCAGCAGCCAGCCUGUCCUUUUAGCUCAGUACUCUCUUAAAUGAAUGGUGCACCCACCUCUCUUCAGAAAGAGCAGAGGGCUUUCCAGGGGGCAGAGAAGUAACUUUGUACUCAUGAAAGCUUACUGCAGUGUUACAGUAUCCUUAUUCCCAAAUACUUGGGGACGAUAUCAUAGGCACAACUUCCUUUUUGCAGUCAAAUUGCAUAUAUUCUGCCAAUGCACACUAUCACUCACUGUCCAAGUGCAGUGAAUCACACAUUGCGAAGUACCCCUUCAGUUUCUAAUUAGCACAUCUAGGCUGAGCAGCCUCAAGUUUUUCCAUGUAUCUAUAUAGAAAACAAGCUAGCGUUAAUAAGGCAGGCACCUUAUAAAAUGUGUCUGGGGAACAAAGCUGCAAGAAAAGGCUUCCAUUUUGCCGGUCUCUGGGUUAUGUGACCUGAAGAGGUGAGCUAACUGUUUUUACAGCUUCUCUGAUGAUUUGACUGUUUAGAGCUAGCCCAGAGCAUGUAACUUUCAGUUUUGCUUGGAUGUGAUGCUUCUUGUUCCCCUCCUGCAGAAGCUUAAAAUGCUGUUCAAGCCACCUCCUGUCCACUAUGCAUUUCUUACAAGUGCUUCCACUUCCAGAUCUGUUUCACCUCCAUGAAAUGGGGAUAUCACAGCUAUAUCAGUUCACUGUAACCCAAGGACAAUUGCACAGCAAGCUCCUUGUCUCCAGCUGGGUGUCAUCUACUGAGGCUUAUGAGACUCAUUCUUCUUCUAUGCCCUGAAAAACUCGGAUUGCUGCAGUUCCACCACAUUUGAGUGAAACUGGCUCAUGCUGAAGUUAUCUAGGUAGAUGCUGCAGUAGUCCACUGAAAUCUCACAGGCUUUCACCCUCAAACCCUCACUGAGGAAGGUUAUGUGGUGCAGCCUCACUUCAAGUUAGAGCGGUGGGGUGUGCAGCUGCCAGUGGUGGCUGAAUACCACCAUCACAUUUCUCCUUGUGGUAUUGCCUCCUUGCUCAGCAGCCUCUCCACUGAAUUGUCACUUUUGAGAAGGGCAGGACAUUCAUUAGGCAGUUAUUGCACUCACUGAACAUCUGUUCUUUCUUGUGAUGAGCAGGAACAUUCCCUGCUGCACCAAAACAUAGGCUUGGCUUUUAGGACAUCGGUCUGAGCCCAGUAUAAUAAAGAAUCUUUUUUUCCAUCCACCAUUCCAAGCCUAUGUUGAAAUUCAAUUUGGGUUGGAGGACAAUCUCUGAAGCAAACAAUCCCCAGUGAGUAUUUCCAAAGAGGCUCGAAUACACUCUUUUGAAGACACCAGUGGUUGCCCCAGGGCCUUUGCACUGCUCCACACACAAGGCAGCCAUGAGCAUGGAAUUUAAUGUACGCAUUGGUUUCUAUAUGUCCACAGCAUUGAGGGCUCUAGUGUCUGUCAUAUCCAUCAUUCUGGAGAUUUUUGCAUGUGCUAAGCAUCUGCCAUUAGAGAUGUAAGCUUCUUACUCCAGCAUCACUUGAUGCUUCAGCAGCUGCUCAAUUUCCAUUCAGGCAAGCCUGUCAAUUGCUUUCCACUGCUAUUUUGUCUCUAGUCUUGCCCAUGGGAGGGAUGAGUAAGUGAUGGGGAGGAGGUGGGCACCGACAGCUCUGACAGAGGCAUGUUUAUACUGGAUGUUCAUGUUGUUCCUCCAUAUCCAACUGAGAACAGCCCGUCUCCCCUGCACAGUAAGGGGUGCACAAAGCAUUUCUGUGUGUUCAGAGGGAACUGUGCUGAUAUUGCCUCUGGCUCCUUGCGUGCAGUUGGGAGGCUCAGAUGCAGUCAUUCCUUUCUAAAGCCCUCACUGACUCAGACCUCCUACUUGUCUCUGAUGGGAUUAAGCCAUCUUGGCUGUGACUUGGGAACCAUCUGCAGGCCCAGAGUUCCUUAUUUUGUACUUCAGGUACUGGUGAUGUUGUGGUAGGGCACUGACUGUGUGCCUGAAGAAAUUCCUCCAUUCGGUUUAUUUUCUCUCACUAUGGCUUCUUGUGGCACCCAAUGGGAUGGAGCAAGAGAAGGAAGUGGUGCAACACUUUCCAGAUACAGGGAACUGCUCCGAAAGUAAUGCCUCUUAUUUUAUUAUGUUCGUCUGUAACAUCAGAAGUGGAUGUUGGUGGUAGAGGUUGAACCUCUAUGGUUCAUGCAGAUUCUUGUUCAUUGCUGAUGGAAAUGCAUAGCUAAUGGUGGUGACUAUAUUGAGAAAGUGUUCUGUAGCUGAGAAUUUGCUCUAGCAAGCAGUGUUAUUGUGCUCUUUGUAGCUGUCAUAGUUUCCAUGGAAAUAAAUAGAAGGCAGUACAUCUGGAGUGACCUGUGUAUAAAGAAGGACUGAAAAAACUUUGUCCCCAACUUUUUUACAUUGAGCUGUGGAAAUGUCUUAUCUUUCUUUCCCAAGAGAAAAAAAGCUUCUUCUCUUUCACAUGAGGUUUCUUUUGCAAGCUUACAUGUUUCUUUUUGGCUUUACAACACUGUUCAUUUGUGCCCACCAUGUAUUAAUGAAGAAUCUGAGAAGAUAAAAAUGAGCAUUGUUUGCAACAUUUAGAUUCUCCUGUUCAAAAGAGCUCUUCAUUUUGAAUUUUCCUGUUUCUCUUUUGCUUUAAAGCACUCAAGAAUGACACAAGCUGGCCUAUUUUGAAGCAGAUACAAUAAUUACUUGAUACAAAGUAUGUUUUCCCACGAUCUGUGCAGAAACCUGUACGUUGGUCUCCUAUUACUUUCCCAUUUCUUAAAACCUUCAGGAAAUAAGAAAAUCCUCAGAAUUCCUCAUAGCUUGAUGCACUCGUUUACUAGAUUGCAGAGUAUUUCAAGUUCCAAUUAUAAGCCAUCUCUUUGAGUGCUCAGUGGACACACUCCAGCCCACAUCAUGACUGCUCCCCAUCCCUCCCAUCUAACCCGCCUUUAGUUGGCCUCUUCUCUGCUGCCAUUGCCACUUUGAAAGCUAGCUGCCCUAAUGGCAGAUUUUCUGUCUUUCUCUGCAAUGCUUUGCUUGGAGCUAUGCUCCAGCAGCACUGCUGUUGAAAAGAGUUCCCAGUCCCUUUGGUUUCUUGGCUUUACCCACAAUGGAGCAUGGAAAGUAUCUUGUAUUAUGUUCAACAGGGUGUGGGGGAAGAAACCAGUCACUUCUGGUCAGAAGGGAACAUCUGAUAUGCCAAAAACAACCAGCUCAGCUGGGAUUCCCAUUCCAAAUUAGAUGUGAUGACUCAGAAAAUCAAGAAGAUAAUGAGCUGUUUAUGAACAGGUCCUGUUUGUUUACUUUGCCUCAAAGCUGUGAAUGGCCUGUUCACCAGAAGCAUUCUGGACUCUGACCCUAUAGAGGGUGAGAUGAGCAGAGAUGAGGCCAUGGCCUGCAAAGGGAAAUGCGCUGUUUUCUGAAAAGCAAAGCCACCUGAGAGCUGGCAGUCCCAUGAGACUGCAUAGAGGACACUCAGUUCACGACGCUGUAUGAGUACGUGUCCUUGUUAGGCCUGUACUCUAGGAGAACACUAUAAGGAACACUACCAACCCAACGCUGACCUUGAUGGAAGGCAGAUUUCCAACUAGAGUGAAAGAAAAAGAACACAAUUUUCCUUUCAUCCACUGUCCUGGCAUCUGGUCAGAUAGCAGUCAAAGAAAGCUGAAGGCCAUAAUGCAGUUCUGGGAAACAGGAAUACUUUCUUACAUGAGAUGCUGGAAGAAUGUCUGUCCUAACAUGGCCUCUAGGAGUCUCCUUUAUCUAACUCCAGUUUGAAAUACUUCUUAAGGCAAAUAACCAGCCAUGAAUUAAAUGUUCCCAAUGACAGAGAUACCAUCCCCAGCACUUAAUUUUUCUGUUGUUGUGAAAAUUCCUUUUUGCAUUAUCCCCUAUUAUAUCCUGCCUUAUUGUGCCUUGUCGUACUUCUUGUAACUAAACUGAGACACCCCCCAUUACUUUUAGCAUAUGGAGUUUGCUCCCACGAAAGAACAGAAGGGAUGAACACUCAGUACGUUCAAACAAAGGAAAGGGUUCUGAAUUUGUCUGCCGUGGAGCACUUUCUACAAAAGGGCAUAGUUCAUCUCCCACAAAAGAUGGAGUCAGGGGCAUGCUGUCUUUCACACAGGUUAAUUCUGCAAAACGAAUGCUCAUCAUGGCUGGUUAAAGAGGGAAUGGGAGUUGUUUGUCUUUUGUAAUAAGAAAAAAGAAAUGAUCUUGAGGGAAUUCAAAUGGGGUCAGCUUAGUGGCAAAGCAAGGCAGGGUCAGCUCUGAUUCAGGGUUCUGUCUUAUAUUUGUGAGAGCUGAUGAAACAGAGCCCAAUCCUGAGAGAUUCUGGAGCUGAUUAUCUUGCUUACAUAAUCAAAGAAUGGGUUUACAAGAAGUUUUCCAAUAAUUAUCAUGUUCACAGGUGAUGCCUACGUGUACACCCACAGCUUCUUGCAGGCAAAUAUGUUCUACAUUCAUUACAUUUGUUUGUUUUUUAGCUGUUAAGAUUUGCAUGUGCAAAAAAUAAGUGUUCAGGCUUUGUUUGCAUAGGCAAUGAAGGGAAUAUAUAAACUUACUAAGCAUUUGGUUCUUUGAUUUUGCAUGUGGCACUAUAGGCCCUCCAAUCACUGCACCAAGCACUCCAAUCACACAGGAGAGAUCAGGAAAACAUCAGGGAAAAAGGUAUUUUCACUAUAGGAACAAAAGCUAGCAUCUUUAGCACAUUAAAUAGUGCUCGUUUGUCACAAGAAGAAUGCUCUGUUUCUUUGCUUUUCCUGCAAAUAACCUUUAGGAUUAUACUUUUGUGGAUAUUUCCAUCACAAUGGAAUAUGUCCUGCUUUUGUCAGCACUGCUUUUGUAAAUGAAUUGAUAGGUCCUCGGAGGUGGACCGAAGCCAAACAAUUUGGACGUGUGUUUGAACUCACCAAGAGGCAGUUCUGAGGUAUUUACUCAUUCUAUUACAGAGAAGCAGCU